GCCUGGCUGGCUCAGUGGCAGAGCAUACGACUCUUGAUCUGGGAGUCAGUCAUGGGUUCGAACCCCAUGUUGGGUG
rnacentral:tRNA from 1 species